CAGGGCAGACAGCAACUGUUUCAUCAAAUUUUCAUGAAAAAGGAAGAAUUUUUGAAAGGGAGUAUUUAUAUAAAAUUUCUUAAAUUUAGGCCAUAUUUAGUGUGUAUAGCUUUAUUGUCAUAAAGCCCCUUUAGAGUCUACUCCUUAGUCCCUUAAGUUCAGACCCUAUUCCUCAGUCCCCUGUAGUCAGACCCUUUAGACCCUACUCCUUUGUCCCCUGGAGAAUCGGACCCUUUAGACCCUAUUUCUCGGUCCCUUUUAGUCCAACCCUUUAGAUGCUACUUUCUCAGUCUCCUAGAGUAGGACCCUUUAGACCCUACUUCUUUCUCUCCCUAGAGUCCGACCCUUCAGACCCUAUUCGGCAGUCCCAAAUAGUUAUACCCUUUAAACCCUAUCCGGCAGUCCCCAAUAGUGAAGACCAUUUAGACCCUACUCCUUUGUCCCCUGGAGUCAGCAAUAGAUUGGAGAAUUGUAGCUUCAGGUUGCAGUGAGGUACAUUUGUACAAAGUUCAGGUAUGUUUGAUUAAUUGAGUAAUCGUUAUGAACGUAAAAUAGUGUCAAUAUUUUGUAGAAAAAUUCUUUUGUGUAUUUUGUGUAUUCAUUUGUGAAUGAUUUUAGUUUUUACAUUGUUUUUCUAACGGUAAUCACAAUGGUGGUGCAGCAUCACCAAUUUUACCAAAACCGAUGGGUAUACAGUGUUUUUAUUGAUAAUCUUAAGUCUGAGUUUCUCUCAGAAUAAUAUCUUUCAGGUGGAUCUUCAGAUGGGCUCAAUUCACAUGGCUGCAUUGGAGCUGUUAGAGGUAAUUGUGAUGAUUUCAGGGAUUGGUAUGGUUAUGUCAAUGAUGGUGAUUGGUUUCUGGGAGAAGAUGAUUGCAUGGAUUAAUGAAGAUGAUAUUGGGGAUUCACAAAAUGCUGACUGUACUGAAAUGGAUCUGUCAUGGCUGCCUUGGAUUGGAGGAUGGCUUGGAGGACUGUAGCUGUGGGUUGCAGUGAGGAACAUUUGUACCAAGUUUAGAUUGACAGACUACAACGAGUGACAAGAGGGGGAAGAUGUCAAGCAUUUGAUUGGAGGUUGUACAGCAUUUGAAAGGAAACUGUUAGAGGACCAGGUGGUUAUCACAGUGUGAGGAAAGACCAGAAGAGGAGUACCUGUUAUAAUUCCAG